GACGAACCGUACGAACGUUAUUCGGAAUCACUGGGCUUAAAGGGUGCGUAGGCGGCGCUGCAAGUUGGGUGUGAAAUCCCUCGGCUCAACCGAGGAACUGCAUUCAAAACUACAGUGCUUGAGGGAGAUAGAGGUGAGCGGAACUUAGGGUGGAGCGGUGAAAUGCGUUGAUAUCCUAAGGAACACCCGUGGCGAAAGCGGCUCACUGGGUCUCUUCUGACGCUGAGGCACGAAAGCUAGGGGAGCGAACGGG
rnacentral:rRNA from 1 species